rnacentral:sRNA from 1 species
GCGAUGAGCUCAUUUGCGUAAGACGGACAAGCAUUCCUUUCGGGGAGCAUGUUGUGGAGCAUGGCUUGGACGCCGCAAAUUUCGAGAAACACCCCGCCUUCGAGCGGGGUGU